rnacentral:rRNA from 1 species
GUCUACGGCCACACCACCCUGAACGCGCCCGAUCUCGUCUGAUCCGGAAGCGAAGCAGGGUCGGGCCUGGUCAGUACUUGUAUGGGAGAAGAUGGGAUGUGAAGUGGCAGAGUGGCUGAAGCAGUAGAGC